GACGAACGCUGGCGGCGGGCUUAACACAUGCAAGUCGAACGGAAAUUCCCUGCUUUUUGGGGGUGCGCUAAUUGCGAACUGGUGAGUAACACUUGAGUAACCGGCCGUUGAGUGUAAGAUAACUUCAUACAACUUGGGCUAAGACGGGAUAGGAUCUCCUGCUGCAUGGUGGGGGUUGGAAAGUUUCGGCGGUUGGGGAUGGACUCGCGGCUUAUCAGCUUGUUGGUGGGGUAGUGGCUUACCAAGGCUUUGACGGGUAGCAGGCCUGAGCGGGUGACCGGCCACAUUGGGACUGAGAUACGGCCCAGACUCCUACGGGAGGCAGCAGUGGGGAAUAUUGCACAAUGGGCGGAAGCCUGAUGCAGCAACGCCGCGUGCGGGAUGACGGCAUUCCGGUUGUAAUCCGCUGUCGCCUGUGACGAAGCGUGAGUGACGGUAAUGGGUAAAGAAGCACCGGCUAACUACGUG
rnacentral:rRNA from 1 species